rnacentral:rRNA from 1 species
UACGUAGGGGGCUAGCGUUGUCCGGAAUCAUUGGGCGUAAAGAGCGUGUAAGCGGCCCGGUAAGUCCGCUGUAAAAGUCAAAGGCUCAACCUUUGAAUGUCAGUGGAUACUGCCGGGCUAGAGUCCGGAAGAGGCGAGUGGAACUCCUGGUGUAGCGGUGGAAUGCGCAGAUAUCAGGAAGAAUACCAACGGCGAAGGCAGCUCGCUGGGACGGUACUGACGCUGAGACGCGAAAGCGUGGGGAGCGAACAGG